rnacentral:rRNA from 1 species
UACUAGAGUAGCACUAGCAUAUCAAUAAGCGGAGGAAAAGAAACUAACAAGGAUUCCCCUAGUAACGGCGAGUGAAGCGGGAAGAGCUCAAAUUUGAAAUCUUAAAGGGUUUCCCUUUACGAAUUGUAGUUUAAAGAAGUGUUUUCUGUUGAGGUUUUGGUAAAAGUUCUUUGGAAUAGGACAUCAUAGAGGGUGAGAAUCCCGUAUUUGACCUUUACUUUCAACUUUGUGAUACACUUUCAAAGAGUCGGAUUGUUUGGGAAUGCAGUCCAAAAUGGGUGGUAAACUUCAUCUAAAGCUAAAUAUUGGCGAGAGACCGAUAGCGAACAAGUACCGUGAGGGAAAGAUGAAAAGAACUUUGAAAAGAGAGUUAAACAGUACGUGAAAUUGUCAAAAGGGAAGCGUUUGACACCAGUGUUGUUUUUCUGAAAAUCAAUUAAAGAACUGUUUAUGCUAAGUUGUUUAGACUUUAUCAGCUAUCUGUUUAGUUUUGAGCUUUUCUUUAAUGCACUUUUCAGUUAACAAGUCAACAUCAAUUUCUUUUGCUGUAAAAAAGCUUGAGGAAGGUGGCUUGAGAUUCGUCUUAAGUGUUUAUAGCCACUUGCCUAUGCAGUCGGAGAGAUUGAGGUCUGCAGCGUAGAUCCUUCGGGGCUAAAUGCAUUUGUGCUAAGUUAUAGCAUUUUAUAGACAACUUGUUGACUAUGAUUUGUCUUGUAGCUUACUCGCUUAUGUUAUUUUACCUACGCUUAGGAUGUUGAGCGCAUGUCUCUCUCU